GCCAGGCGUAGUGGUGCAGGCCUGUAGUCCCAGCUACUCGGGAGGCUGAGGCAGGAGGAUCGCUUGAGCCCAGGAGUUCUGGGCUGUAGUGCGCUAUGCCGAUCAGGUGUCCUCACUAAGUUCAGCAUCAAUAUGGUGACCUCCCGGGAGUGGGGGACCACCAGGUUGCCUAAGGAGGACUGAACCAGCCCAGGUUGGAAAUGGAGCAAGUCAAAAAGAUAUUUGUUACUGAGCGGCUCAAAGAAUCACCAGAAUAGCAGACACCCACUAGAACCAAGAGAGGCUACCACUGCCAAAAGCAUGUU
rnacentral:SRP_RNA from 1 species